rnacentral:lncRNA from 1 species
CUCGCACCAGCAUCUCGCGGAUGGCGGAGGCCCGGCAGGAGAGGCUGUGGCAGGUUUAACUGGGCUCUGCAGCCCCCACCUCGCCGGUGCACGGCUUCCCCAGCGCAGGCGAUGAAACCACUGAGCGAAAUCCCCGGCCCUGGACUAUGAUUUUAACACUGGGAGAUCAAAUAAGCUUAAAAUCUGUUUGCCUCCUGAGUGCUGCGAUCACAGGUGUGGGCCACCACACCCAGCUAGUCUCUUUUCUGACACCGGAACGACCUUCGUACUUCAGCACAGGGGACUGCUGGAGGACUCAGACACCAGAGUUAGAGCUCCCGGGGUUCUGUCGCGCUGCGAGUCGGGUCACGGUGGUCACCACUGAGCUCGGAGGCCAGGACAUGCUGACUCUGGAAAACACAAUCGCCUUGGCCACCUCCCUUCCAGCUUCCUUCUAGUGUGCUGGUAAGCGUCUCCAUUUGCAUGUUUCCGUAACCACAGGAGAAGGCUUAUUUUGAUCAUCCCUAAAAAAACCAACUACAGUAUCCCAGGAGAGAAACAGUAACUUCUAGAAGCUGAAUGUCAAAUCCCAAUGUAGAUUUUCCAUAUCUUACUGGUGUCCGUUUGCUUUUCUUUUGUUUCUGCUGAACUGAAAUUAAAAAAAAAAAGUCCACUUCUGGGCCUUUGAUGUCAGCAAGGGUCACCUGAAACCAAGCAUGAGGUCAUUUUGUUUUAUGCAUCUUGGGUGAAUUGAGUCGAGCAGGGGCCUGCUGCUUAGAGGCCGUCCGCUGUGCAGUCUCGCUCCCACCCCAGCCAGUGCCACAGGUUGGGUGCAGGGUCCCGAAGCCUGGGCCCUGGGGAGACAGGAGGUGGGAUCGAGGGCUUCGGAAGGCUUCCUUAACAGCGGCUCUCAUUUGGCUGGCUCCGUAAACCCUUUGCAGAGCACCAAGGCGUCAGUGAUUACUGCUCACCUCGGGGAUGAAAGCACAGGAAGCAGAAUCCGUAGCAGCCGCUGUGGAUGCCGGGACAAACGGAAGUGGGCCCCAUCCCAGCCACUGGCCCUCGGGCUCACUGCUAGUGAGACACGAGCCACUCAGAGGGAGAACCGAGUCAGCCAUAGGAAAAGCCAGAUGUGUCCGAGCACACACAGCUUAAACGUACGAGAUAGCAGCAUGUGUUUGUUUCUGAACAUGAGGUCGCACUGUCCACUAGUAAGUCAUGUCCCGCAGAUGCCAGGUGCUAGGAUUAUCCAUGCCUCCCCUAACCGAGGAGACAGACUAAGAAGUGCAGGGCUCUCUCCUAAUUUCCCUAUUUAUCCCGGGGAAGGGAUGAGCAGCUAGGUGUAAUAAUUACCACCCAGAACCACAAAACCCGGCAGACAGUCGUGGGCAGCGGUCUGGUCCCAAGUUAUUCUGCCACCAGUUGCAAUUUGACGCCCCCCUGGUGGGCUUGUCUGUCCAGCUUAAUUAAAUCAGGAUGGGCUUCUGGGUCCAUGCAGGGAAUCUCCCCAUGCGCUGGCAUCUGUCCGUGAGCCGCUGGAGAUGGCCCAAGGUCACCUUCUUCCUCCCUGCCCCUUAGGCUGGCAGUUGGCUGCUGGCUCCGUCUGACCCUUGCCAGCACCUAAAUCAAGACGACAGCCUUAGCUUGCCCUGUUCCGGGAGGAAGGGGAAUGGAUUCAGUGUUUCCAGGUCUGUUCAGUGAUUUAAACCUUGGGCGGGGAUUUAGCUCAGUGGUUCCGCGCCUGCCUUGUAAGUGAGUUGAACCUUCUGGGUGGAGUAUCAGGGCGUCGGGAGAGACAGCUUAGCUGUGCUGAGUGAGUGCCCAGCGCGUGGACAGUGACCACCUUGGCAGAGAUGGAAACCUGUGCUGGGCUUUGUGUGGCCCUGGUCGGCGUGGACACACUCAGGACUACCACACACCGUCCAUGUUUCUGCACUGGUGACCACAAAGGCGCCAUUACAGGGGCCCGCGAAGCUGUGCGCCCUGAGCGUCAGCAGAGCUCAGUCAGGAGGCCGCGUCGGCUGCUUUCCUCUGGGCUCCGGAUCCCGCCCGUUCCUGUCAGCUCUGUGCAGUACUCAGACCCUGUGUGAGCGCGGUCCAGCUACCAGAGUCGGGCGGAGGCUGCAGCCAGCUCCGCAAGCCGCCAGCCAGGGUGAGCUCGUGGGUCCUGAGCUGACAGCUCCUGGCCCUGGCACAUCGUCCUGUCUCUCCCACUGCUGUCUUUCCUCGGGGGACCUGUGUGGCACAGCAGUGGCUGAAACAUCACAAGAUCUUUGUCUCUGUUGAUGAACUGUACAUUGCAUAACCUUCUGUCUCUUCUUUAAAAACGUGUCAGGAAACAGCACAUACCAGAGUGUGGGAGAUGGAAUGGGGCUGCAGCGGGGCUCCGUGGCACAGCGCUGGCCUCACCAUGCCUGGGCCCUGGCCUCCAUCCCCAGAGCUCAGAAAAGAGCACACAUGAGCAGCCUUUAGCUUAAGAAACAGAACAUUCCCAGGCGCCCGCACCCCUGCUCGUCUGACCCCAUCCAUGCCGUAGGAGGUAGACAUUCUUUUGGACUUUUAUGAGUAAAUUCCCCUAUUCUUAUUUGUGGCUCUACUAUCUAUGUUGUAUCCCUAAUACAAUAUUUAGAUUUACUCGUUUUUGAACUUGUAGCAAAUGGAAUCAUACUGUAUGUAUUCUUCUGGGACUUCUCUUUUCUUAUGUUGUUUUUGAGCUCUUCAUCCCUGUUUACUGCAUGUAACCGUAUUUUGUGUUUUCACUGCUGUAUAGUAGUCCAAGUGCAAAUGUUUCAGUUAUCAGAGGUUUGGAUUGUUUUCAGCUUCUUGCUGUUACAGAGGAUGCUGCUGUGAACUUGCUGCCCAGUCAGAGCAUAAGCCAUGUGGGCAGGGCUCACGCCUGUCCUCUGCUGUCCCCAGUUUCUAGAACAGUGCCUCACCCAGGUGGGCCCAGUCAGCAUCAGAGAGCUCAGCACCUCCUUGUUCCUGUCUCCUGUGCGCAUGUGCAAGGAUUGCUCCGGGACCCCUGGGGUUCUCUGAGGCUCUUUUCAGAGGACAGAGUGUUUUCUCAUAAUUUGUCCUUUUCAUUCAGAUUUUUCCCAAUUUUAAAUUCUUUCCAGCUAUAUGAUAUCAUUGCUGCAAUAGCUAAUCAGGUUUCAUUUGUUUAUUUUUUAACAGUGUCUCCAUUUUAACCAGUGAUGUGCCACGAUACUGAUACAUAAAACCCACAGGAACAAUGGCUUUUGAGUGCCUCAGCAAUUUUUAAGAAUGUAAAGAGAUUCGGAGACCGAAAGCUUGAGAACCACUACUAUAAGAAGCUGGUUUUAGGGCCAGGGAUUUAGCUCAGUGGUUUCGACGCCUGCUGCGCAAGUGCAAGGACCCGAGUUUGAUCUCCGGUACCAAAAAAAAAAAAAGUGAGUUUUACUUGGUAAUGCCAACGUGUUUGCUAAAGUGCUUGUACCAGUUCCCACCCUGGUGGCAAUGGCUCAGAGUUCCCCAUGCCCCGUAUCUAGCACACACUUGCGCUUAGCUGUCUUUGACAUUUGCCAAUCAAAGCUAGGUGUGGUGGCACACACCUGUAAUCUCAACACUCAGGAGGCUGAGGCGGGAGGAUCGCCCUAAGUUUGAGCCCAGCCUGGGCUACACGGUGAGUUCAAGGCCAGCGUGAACUACAUAGCAAGACAGUGUCUCAAAAAACAAAACAAAACCUUUUGCCAAUUGGAUGGCUGUUAUAUAGUUUGCAGUUCCCUGUUUACGAGUGAAGUUGGUUUUUCACAUGAGCCCUCUUUUGUGAAAUUCCUAUUUAUGUGUCAUGCUCUUUUCCCCGUUAAGUUUUAUGUUUCUUUUUUCCUUAUUCAUUCAUGAUUUCUUUAUAUAUUCUGGAUAUCAGUCCUGUGUCAGCAUAACAUCUCACCCAUAUUUCCUCCCAGUUUAUGUGUUGUCUUUUGUACUUGUAUUGAAUACAUGAAUCAACUUGGAGAAACUUUACAUCUUUUCAGUAAUUGUGUCUUCCCGUGAAAAAGAGUAUGUAUCCCUCCGUUUACUAGCUCUUCUUAAUAUCUCUCAAUAAACAAUAAUUUUCUCUACAAAGGCUUUGAUGUCUUAUCUUAGAUUUCUUCACAGGAGUUGUGUAUUCUUAAUGCAAUCACCUAUUGAAUUUUUAAAAUUACAUUUCCUAUUCUGAUUCUCACAGAUUAUAGAAAUGGCAUGGCUAUGUAUUGAUUUUAGAUCCACCACCACUAACAAACGUGGAUUAUUUGAGAAAGGUGCCUGCACAUCCUUUAAGUUUUUACAUCAUCAGCAGUUUUCGUUUCUGACCCUUGCAUCUUAAAGAUUUUCUUAUUUCUGUACUGACUAGGAGCUGUACAACAAUGUCGAAAAGAACUGAGAGUGAACAUCCUUGUCUUAAUCUUGAUUUAAAGGAAUGGUUUUAGCAUUUCACUGUGCAGUAUAUUUUUUCAUAAAUGGCUUUUAUCAAGGAAGUUUUCUUCUAUUUCUGGUUUGUUUGGUUGGUUGGUUUUUUUGGUGCCGGGAAUCGAACUUGGGAC